rnacentral:rRNA from 1 species
UGGGGAAUAUUGCACAAUGGGCGCAAGCCUGAUGCAGCCAUGCCGCGUGUAUGAAGAAGGCCUUCGGGUUGUAAAGUACUUUCAGCGGGGAGGAAGGGAGUAAAGUUAAUACCUUUGCUCAUUGACGUUACCCGCAGAAGAAGCACCGGCUAACUCCGUGCCAGCAGCCGCGGUAAUACGGAGGGUGCAAGCGUUAAUCGGAAUUACUGGGCGUAAAGCGCACGCAGGCGGUUUGUUAAGUCAGAUGUGAAAUCCCCGGGCUCAACCUGGGAACUGCAUCUGAUACUGGCAAGCUUGAGUCUCGUAGAGGGGGGUAGAAUUCCAGGUGUAGCGGUGAAAUGCGUAGAGAUCUUGAGGAAUACCGGUGGCGAAGGCGGCCCCCUGGACGAAGACUGACGCUCAGGUGCGAAAGCGUGGGGAGCAAACA